rnacentral:rRNA from 1 species
GACGAACGCUGGCGGCGUGCUUAACACAUGCAAGUCGAACGGAAAGGCCCUGCUUUUGUGGGGUGCUCGAGUGGCGAACGGGUGAGUAACACGUGAGUAACCUGCCCUUGACUUUGGGAUAACUUCAGGAAACUGGGGCUAAUACCGGAUAGGAGCUCCUGCUGCAUGGUGGGGGUUGGAAAGUUUCGGCGGUUGGGGAUGGACUCGCGGCUUAUCAGCUUGUUGGUGGGGUAGUGGCUUACCAAGGCUUUGACGGGUAGCCGGCCUGAGAGGGUGACCGGCAACAUGGGGCCUGAGAUACGGCCCAGACUCUUAGGGGAGGAAGAAGUGGGGAUUUUGGCCAAUGGGGCGAAACCCUGAUGCAGAAAGCCGGGGUGCGGGAUGCCGCCCUUCGGGUUGAAACCGGCUUUCCCCUGUGACGAGGCGUAAGUGAGGUAAUGGGUAAAGAAGCACCGGCUAACUACGUG